UUAUGGCUCAGGAUGAACGCUAGCGACAGGCUUAACACAUGCAAGUCAGGGGCAGCAUAAAAGUAGCAAUACUUGGUGGCGACCGGCGCACGGGUGAGUAACGCGUAUGCAACCUACCUAUCAGAGGGGAAUAACCCGGCGAAAGUCGGACUAAUACCGCAUAAACAGGGCACCGCAUGGUGAUAUUUGUUAAAGAAAUUCGCUGAUAGAUGGGCAUGCGUUCCAUUAGGUAGUUGGUGAGGUAACGGCUCACCAAGCCGACGAUGGAUAGGGAACUGAGAGGUUGGUCCCCCACACUGGUACUGAGACACGGACCAGACUCCUACGGGAGGCAGCAGUGAGGAAUAUUGGUCAAUGGGCGGGAGCCUGAACCAGCCAAGUCGCGUGAAGGAAGAAGGAUCUAUGGUUCGUAAACUUCUUUUGCAGGGGAAUAAAGUGCAGGACGUGUCCUGUUUUGUAUGUACCCUGAGAAUAAGGAUCGGCUAACUCCGUGCCAGCCGCCGC
rnacentral:rRNA from 1 species